rnacentral:lncRNA from 1 species
AGCAGUUUCUGACAUUUCUGCCAAAGGGGAAAAAAAUCAGACUUUGAGCUGUAUUACAAUAACAUUGAAAGUGACAGAAGAGCAGAUUUUAACCCAGUGUUAGAAUGAAUUUCCCAUAAUCAGAGUUGUCCAACAGUGGAAUGGACUGCCUUAAUAGUGAGCUCCCUGCCUCUGAGAAUAUUCACUGGAUGACCAUCUGUUAGAAUACCAUAAAAAGAUUUUCUGUGCUGGCUACAUGUUCAAUAUAAAGUCCUUUCUGGCUCUAAGUUCUAUGAAUAUAUAAACUACAUCAGUGCCAUGCUGUGGUUAGAUUUAUCUGAUGAUAACAGCUAAGACUAUGGAGAGGGACUUUAAAAAUUC